AGCAGCCGCGGUAAUUCCAGCUCCAAUAGCGUAUAUUAAAGUUGUUGCAGUUAAAAAGCUCGUAGUUGAAUUUCGGAAUCAAUGGAUCGGUCAUGCCACUCGGUGUGUACUGGUUUGAUUGGUUCUCACCUUCUAAGGAACCGUGAUGUCAUUAAUUUGGUGUCGCGGGGAAUUAGGACUGUUACCUUGAAAAAAUUAGAGUGUUUAAAGCAAGCUCACGCUUGAAUACAUUAGCAUGGAAUAAUGAAAUAGGACAUUGUAUUCUAUUUUGUUGGUUUCUAGGAUCGAUGUAAUGAUUAAUAGGGAUAGUUGGGGGCAUUAGUAUUCAAUUGUCAGAGGUGAAAUUCUUGGAUUUAUUGAAGACUAACUACUGCGAAAGCAUUUGCCAAGGAUGUUUUCAUUAAUCAAGAACGAAAGUUAGGGGAUCGAAGACGAUCAGAUACCGUCGUAGUCUUAACCAUAAACUAUGCCGACUAGGGAUCGGAUGAUGUUAAUUUUUUAAUGACUCAUUCGGCACCUU
rnacentral:misc_RNA from 1 species